AAAACAAAAAAAUUUAAACUUUAUUAUCCAAAUACUUACAUUAUAAAUUUUAUUUUUUAGAAAAAGGUAAAGUUAAAAAAAGGAUAGUUUAAAAUAUAACAAUUAAUAUAAAAGUAUCGAUGACAAUUUUGUAUUAACAUCAUAAAAAGUAUUUUAAAGGAGUUAUUAAGGAUAACUAGCAAAUUUAUAACAAAAGGAGGAAUAAUACCAAAAGCCACAACUGAUUAACUGAAUUAAAACUCUGCAAAAUCAAACCCAAAUUGUGGCGAUCCUAAGGGAAACCUUGAUUAUAAACACUUCCUGAAGCAAAACAUUGUAUUAAGGAAAGGAAAGGAAAUCAACCGAGACUCCGAAAGUAAUGGUGAGUGAAAUCGGAUUAGCCUAAAAAACUUUUAAUUUGAAUAAUAAAGGUUAUAGAUAUAAGAAUAGUUUGGAAAACUGUAACUAUAUUUAUAUAAAUUUAUAAAUUUUAAAUAAUAACCAAAAUUAAAAAUCCAAAGAAGGUAUUCAGUCCUGUAGAAACAAAAGUUUUUUUUUUAAUAAAUUAAUAAUUAAAAAAUAAUAAUUUAAAACUAAAAAGUACGAUGAGAGUAAACUUGUCGGAAUAUAGGGGAACCAUCCUCUAAGGCUAAGUAUUAUAAAUUUAGCGAUAGUGAAAAGUACUGUAAAGGAAAAGUUGAAAAAGUGAGUUGUAUAACGAAAUGAAAUAAACUUGAAUUAGUAACUCUAUAAGCAGUCGAAGUUUAAAAUAAAUGACGGCGUACCUUUUGCAUAAUGGGUCAGCAAGUUAAUAGAAGUAGCAAGGUUAAAAGCCCUAGCGAAAGCGACUAGACUAUUAGUUUACAAAGUAAUAAUAUAAUUGAGUUUAAACACUUUUUAUAUUUUAACUUUUUAAAUAUUUUUAUUACAAAUAAAAAUAGAAUAACCCCUUAUUUAUUAAUUUAUAUUACAAAGUUUCUUAGGUUUUACUUAAAACGGUUUAUUAAAUUAAGAUUUAAGUGAAUUAUUUACUAUAAAUUAGUGUUGGAUAAGUUACUUUUAUUAGACCCGAAGCCAGUUGAUCUUUCCAAGACCAGAUUAUAAUGGAUCGAACGGUUGAAUGUUGCAUAAUUCUCCGAAGAGUUUUGGCAAAUUUGGAAAUGCCAAUCUGAACUGGUGAUAGCUGGUUUUCUACGAAACAUAUUUUAGUAUGACAUCUAUACAAAAUUUAUGGAGGUACAGCACGGCAAUUCCCAAUAAAUUUUAGAUAAAAACAUAAACAGUUUUGAUCUAUUAAGCGUUUAGGUUGCGGGGACCUCGAAAAUCUUACCAAUGGAAGUGAAACUCGGAAGUACAUAAAUUGAUGAUAGAUAUUCAGACUGCUCAUGCUAAGUUGGGUAGUCAAGACGGAAACAGCCGAGAACAUGGAUCAAGGUCCCAAAUGAUUAUUAAGUGAAAUUAAGGAAGUAACACAUUGAAUGCAGCUGUAAAGUGAGCCUGGUAGUCGCUAUCUUUUAAUGACCGUUGUAACAACGUAGCAGCCCUUAGAUUGUUGCGCCUAAAAUUUAACGGGUCUAAAUAAUCAACCGAUAUCCUGUUAAUUUAGAAUAAAAUAAAUAAAUAAAAAUUUUCUUUUAAAUUUAGGUAGUAGAACAUUCAGUAAUACUAAUGAUAAAUAGUGUUUCAUUAUUUUGAGGUAACUGAAGAGAAAAUGCUGACAUGAGUAACGUAAAAAGAAGUUAUAAAACUUCUCGCCGAAUACGAAAGGGUUAUAAGGAAAGGUUAAACCACCUUAUGUGAAUGCGGCCUCUAAGGAUCAAAACCAAUGUUUUGACUGAUGAGUAUUAUACUGAAAGUCCAUAUGGAAAAUAAAAUGGACCAGGAAAAUUAAGUAUAAAAAAUAGUAUUUAAUACCCAAAAAUAAAGUAAAAAAAUCUAUUUAAAACUACCGUACCCUAAACCGACACAGGUUCGUAGGUAGAGUAUACUAAGGCGUAGAGCUAAAAGUUGUUAAGGAACUCGGCAAGUUGUCCUCAUAAGUUUGACGAUAAGAGGAACCGUAAAAAUUUAAAUUAGCCAUAUUUUAAAAGCUUUUGCGGUGUAAUAAAAUCGGAGGCCCCGACUGUUUACUAAAAACACAAUUCAGAGCAAUGAUUAAUAUCAUAGUAUUCUGGAUGAAAUUUGCCCGAUGCCAUUAAUAUAAGAGAGGUAAUGGGUGACUGUUACUAAUCGAAAGUCUGGUUAAUAGCUUUUAUUGCCAAAGGUAGCAAAAUAAAUUGGCCAUUAAAUGUGGUCUGGUAUCAAUAAUGUAACGAUGGUCUCACUGUCUCUACAACUUGCUCAGUGAAAUUGAAUUACCCGUGCAGAUGCGGGUUACCUCCAGGGGGACGGGAAGACCCUAUGCAGCUUUACUGUAUUUAGUUAUCACAUUAAUCACAAAUUUAGUUAAUAGUAAUUAGGGAAGUCGAUAGACGAAAGAUGGAAUACCUUCGAAUUAAAGUUGGGUUAAUGUUUACCUUAUAAAUAAAAAUUUUAGAGGGAGAGUUGACUAAUUGGCAGUUUGACUGGGGCGGUCGUCUUUAAUAUAGUAGCAAAGUACAUCCAAAUAUAUAAUUAUAACACAAAUAUCUAUUUAUAAUUUAAAUAAGAUAUCCAGACAAAAAUUUUUCUGUUUAUUUUCCUCUUUAAGAGGUAAGCGGCAGAAAUAAUUUAUAUAAUAAUUAACAUAACAAAUUAACGAAAAAAAAAUAUUUUAUUUUUUUUACAUAUAAGGUAUGGCUAGAAAUUGAAUGGAGAUCAAUUAACCAGUGAAUGGUUAUGCAGAGCGUAAUGGCGGAAAGCAUGCUUAACUGAAAGACUUAGAAGUCGUACAGAUACGUAAGUAGGGCAUAGUGACCCCUCGCUAUAAUAUGGAAUAGACGGGGAUCAAUCGAUAAAAGUUACGCUAGGGAUAACAGGCUGAUAGCUGGCGAGAGUACACAUUGUCCCGGCUGUUUAUUGCGAUGUCGACUCAUCCUAUCCUCCGGGUGAAGAAGCUUGGAAGGGUUCGGCUGUUCGCCGAUUAAAAGGGUACGCGAGUUGGGUUUAAUACGACGUGAGUCAGUAUGGUCCCUAUCUUCUGGAGGAACAAAUAGUAAAAGGGGGAUGACCUUCCAGUACGAAAGGAUCAAUAGGCUGUGUUUCUCUAGUGUACCAAUUGUUGAACAUUUAUAUAUUUUAAAUUUUAAAUCUAAAUUAUAUUAUAAUUAGGCAUAGUUGGGUAGCCACAAACAUAAUAGAUAAGCGCUGAAUGUAUAUUAAGCAAGAAACUAACCCCUAGAUACUAUCAUCAGAAUAAUUUCUUAAACCUAAAAAGUUUUGACUUUUUUAAAUUUUACCAAACUUUAAUUAAGAAUAGUGGACAAAUUAUCUCAAGGAUACCGCCACAAAGAAACAAACUCUGAUUUUUAUAAGAAAUAGAACAUUUCUAGAUAGGAUGCAAAUGAAAAUAUUGCGAAAUAUUUAGUUUAGCAUUACUAAUUUAUUAAAUAGACUUGAUGUUAAGAAUUGUCAAAAU
rnacentral:rRNA from 1 species